AACCUUCGCAAUGUGCGAAAGCACGACGAGGUUAUUCCGAGUGAUUUCCGCUGAGGAGAUCUUUUCUCAGAUCUAAAAUGUCUGGGGAAUAAGGGGAGGGCAAGUCUGGUGUCAGCCGCCGCGGUAAUACCAGCUCCUCGAGUGGUCAGGGCGUUUAUUGGGCCUAAAGCAUCCGUAGCCGGCUUAGUAGGUCUCCUGUUAAAUCCAACGGCUCAACCGUUGGUCUGCAGGAGAUACCGCUGGGCUAGGAGGCGGGAGAGGCGGACGGUACUCCGAGGGUAGGGGUAAAAUCCUUUGAUCCCCGGAAGACCACCAGGGGCGAAGGCGGUCCGCCAGAACGCGCUCGACGGUGAGGGAUGAAAGCUGGGGGAGCGAACCGGAUUAGAUACUCGGGUAGUCCCAGCCGUAAACGAUGCGAGCUAGGUGACACUACGCCUUCGGGGCGUAGUGGUGCCGCAGGGAAGCCGUUAAGCUCGCCGCCUGGGGAGUACGGACGCAAGUCUGAAACUUAA
rnacentral:rRNA from 1 species